rnacentral:rRNA from 1 species
UCGGGAAUUUUGGGCAAUGGGCGAAAGCCUGACCCCAGCAACGCCGCGUGAGGGAUGAAGGCCUUCGGGUCGUAAACCUCUGUCGGGAGGGAAGAAUGUCUUCGGGGUGAACAAUCCCGGAGGUUGACGGUACCUCUAGAGGAAGCGCCGGCUAACUCCGUGCCAGCAGCCGCGGUAAUACGGAGGGCGCAAGCGUUGUUCGGAAUCAUUGGGCGUAAAGCGCGUGUAGGCGGCUUGGUAAGUCGAGUGUGAAAUCCCGGGGCUCAACCCCGGAAGGUCGCUCGAAACUGCCUCGCUCGAGUCCCGGAGAGGAAGGCGGAAUUCCCGGUGUAGAGGUGAAAUUCGUAGAUAUCGGGAGGAACACCAGCGGCGAAGGCGGCCUUCUGGACGGUGACUGACGCUGAGACGCGAAAGCGUGGGGAGCAAACAGGAUUAGAUACCCUGGUAGUCCACGCCGUAAACGAUGAGUACUAGGUGUAGGAGGUAUCG